UACGAAGGGGGCUAGGCGUUGCUCGGAAUCACUGGGCGUAAAGGGUGCGUAGGCGGGUCUUUAAGUCAGGGGUGAAAUCCUGGAGCUCAACUCCAGAACUGCCUUUGAUACUGAGGAUCUUGAGUACGGGAGAGGUGAGUGGAACUGCGAGUGUAGAGGUGAAAUUCGUAGAUAUUCGCAAGAACACCAGUGGCGAAGGCGGCUCACUGGCCCGGUACUGACGCUGAGGUGCGAAAGCGGUGGGGAGCAAACAGG
rnacentral:rRNA from 1 species